UUAGGACAAUGAUACCGAAGGUGGUUGC
rnacentral:sRNA from 1 species